rnacentral:rRNA from 1 species
GUGCCAGCCGCCGCGGUAAUACGGAGGGGGCUAGCGUUGUUCGGAAUUACUGGGCGUAAAGCGCACGUAGGCGGCUUUGCAAGUUAGAGGUGAAAGCCCGGGGCUUAACCCCGGAAUUGCCUUUAAAACUGCAUCGCUAGAAUUGUGGAGAGGUGAGUGGAAUUCCGAGUGUAGAGGUGAAAUUCGUAGAUAUUCGGAAGAACACCAGUGGCGAAGGCGACUCACUGGACACAUAUUGACGCUGAGGUGCGAAAGCGUGGGGAGCAAACAGGAUUAGAAACCCUAGUAGUCC